rnacentral:rRNA from 1 species
AACGCGAAGAACCUUACCAGCUCUUGACAUGCCCGGUAUGGGCGGGAGAGAUCCCGCUCUUCGGUUCGGCCGGCCGGGACACAGGUGCUGCAUGGCUGUCGUCAGCUCGUGUCGUGAGAUGUUGGGUUAAGUCCCGCAACGAGCGCAACCCCCAUCUGCAGUUGCCAGCGGUUUGGCCGGGCACUCUGCAGAAACUGCCGGUGACAAGCCGGAGGAAGGCGGGGAUGACGUCAAGUCCUCAUGGCCCUUAUGGGCUGGGCUACACACGCUACAAUGGUCAGGACAAAGAGUUGCCAACCAGCGAUGGGGAGCUAAUCUCGUCAAACCUGGCCUCAGUUCAGAUCGGAGGCUGCAACCCGCCUCCGUGAAGUUGGAGUUGCUAGUAACCGUAAGUCAGCACAUUACGGUGAAUACGUUCCCGGGCCUUGUACACACCGAGACGAC